CCUACGGGUGGCUGCAGUGGGGAAUAUUGGACAAUGGGCGAAAGCCUGAUCCAGCCAUGCCGCGUGUGUGAAGAAGGCCUUCGGGUUGUAAAGCACUUUCAGUGGGGAAGAAAGCCUUGGGGCUAAUACCCUCGAGGAAGGACAUCACCCACAGAAGAAGCACCGGCUAACUCCGUGCCAGCAGCCGCGGUAAUACGGAGGGUGCGAGCGUGUAAUCGGAAUUACUGGGCGUAAAGCGCGCGUAGGCGGUCUGAUAAGCCGGUUGUGAAAGCCCCGGGCUCAACCUGGGAACGGCAUCCGGCAUGGAGAGAGGAGGGAGGAGGAGAAGAGGGUAAACGCCCGGGUGUGGGGGAGAUAGGGGUAGGGAUGGGGGGGAAGCGGGGUGAAGAGGGGGGCUUUGUGAAGUGACAGCCACUGAGAGGUGAAAACGCGUGGAUCACAAACAGAAAUGAGUACCUGGACGUC
rnacentral:rRNA from 1 species